CACCCUUUGGGGUGUGACUGCGUACCUUUUGUAUAAUGGGUCAGCGACUUAUAUUCUGUAGCAAGGUUAACCGUAUAGGGGAGCCGUAGGGAAACCGAGUCUUAACCGGGCGUUAAGUUGCAGGGUAUAGACCCGAAACCCGGUGAUCUAGCCAUGGGCAGGUUGAAGGUUGGGUAACACUAACUGGAGGACCGAACCGACUAAUGUUGAAAAAUUAGCGGAUGACCUGUGGCUGGGGGUGAAAGGCCAAUCAAACCGGGAGAUAGCUGGUUCUCCCCGAAAGCUAUUUAGGUAGCGCCUCGUGAAUUCAUCUCCGGGGGUAGAGCACUGUUUCGGCUAGGGGGCCAUCCCGGCUUACCAACCCGAUGCAAACUGCGAAUACCGGAGAAUGUUAUCACGGGAGACACACGGCGGGUGCUAACGUCCGUCGUGAAGAGGGAAACAACCCAGACCGCCAGCUAAGGUCCCAAAGUCAUGGUUAAGUGGGAAACGAUGUGGGAAGGCCCAGACAGCCAGGAUGUUGGCUUAGAAGCAGCCAUCAUUUAAAGAAAGCGUAAUAGCUCACUGGUCGAGUCGGCCUGCGCGGAAGAUGUAACGGGGCUAAACCAUGCACCGAAGCUGCGGCAGCGAACGUAUCACCCAAGACAACUUUACGG
rnacentral:rRNA from 1 species